rnacentral:rRNA from 1 species
CGGCGGACGGGUGAGUAAUGCCUAGGAAUCUGCCUGGUAGUGGGGACAACGUUCGAAAGGAACGCUAAUACCGCAUACGUCCUACGGGAGAAAGCAGGGGACCUUCGGGCCUUGCGCUAUCAGAUGAGCCUAGGUCGGAUUAGCUAGUUGGUGAGGUAAUGGCUCACCAAGGCGACUAUCCGUAACUGGUCUGAGAGGAUGAUCAGCCACACUGGAACUGAGACACGGUCCAGACUCCUACGGGAGGCAGCAGAA